rnacentral:rRNA from 1 species
AACGUCUGACACAGGUGCUGCAUGGCUGUCGUCAGCUCGUGUCGUGAGAUGUUGGUUAAGUCCCGUAACGAGCGCAACCCUUGUCCUUAGUUACCAGCACGUUAUGGUGGGCGACUCUAAGGAGACUGCCGGUGACAGACCGGAGGAAGGUGGGGGAUGACGUCAAGUCAUCAUGGCCCUUACGGCCUGGGCUACACACGUGCUACAAUGGUCGGUACAAAGGGUUGCCAAGCCGCGAGGUGGAGCUAAUCCCAUAAAACCGAUCGUAGUCCGGAUCGCAGUCUGCAACUCGACUGCGUGAAGUCGGAAUCGCUAGUAAUCGUGAAUCAGAAUGUCACGGUGAAUACGUUCCCGGGCCUU